CGCCCCCUUUGUUUCAAGCUGUGCACGCCCACCCGCUGCGUGGGACCUUAAAAACCCCCUGCUCCAGAGCUCGGGGCUCCUGGCUCGGAUCCGUUGCAACGGAGUCCCCUGGGAGCCAAGUUCAAACUUGCAAUAAAUGGCCCUUUUGCUUUUGCAUCAGACUCGGCUCCCUGGUGAUCUUUGUGGGGGAUUUCGAGAUCUGUGCACAACAUUUAGUGCAUUGGCUGGGAAGUCCCUCAAGACACCCUGAGGACCCCGACCCGCAGGGCCGCUACAUGGGGCCACGCGAGAAAAAAAGCCAAGCGAGCGCAUGGGGUGGGUGGCGACGUUGGCCACCCACCCGACCCGUCUUGAAACACAGACCAAGAAGUCUAACACGUGCGUGAGUCAGGGACUCGCAUGAAAGCCACGGCAGGGGAUUGUCCCCCGGCCGGCGACCGGCCACCACCGGGCGCAUUUCCACUGGCUCCAGGACGGCUGAAAAGGCCCAGCGGGGAAGGUAGCUGGGGGCCCCCCUGCCCUUCGUGGGGCGGGCCUGCCUCCCAAGUGUUACAGCCCCCAGACAGCAGCACUGGCGGAAUCCCAAGGGACAUGAUGAUGGCACUGGUUAUUUUACCAAGGCUUUGGCUGGAACAGCAAUUCCAGAGGUGUCCAGACUGCAUUAAAGAAUUCAGGUUGACUUUAUAAGGCCAAUUAAGAAAAGCCCUUUGGAAAACUGGCCAGAUACCCAUCAGUAACAUUUCCUGAUCUGUGGUAAGUAACAAAGGUCCGGAAAUCAAAAUGUGCUUGGGAACCUCAAGAGAAGAGGGAUUUACCCAAUGCAUACAGGUAUCUAACAGCACAGAUGAAACCUGGGCUCUGAAAGGCUUUCAAAAAGUCCAGCCUGAGAUUCCUUAUAAAAGGUUCCAGCAAAGCCAAAUUUAAAAGAAAAAGAGCCUAAAUGGCUAAUAAUUAAUUAUUCUUACUGCACUUUAUGCAAAUAAUCAGACCCUGUAUAUUAAAGGUACAGUUUAUUUUGGCAAAUAAGUUAGUUCUACUAUAAUUUGCCUUUAGUAAAGAGAGAAAUAAGAGAGAGAGAAACAGUUUAAAAGGAGGAAAAAGAGGCCGUGGUCUGGUCCACCUGUAUUUAGAUCCCAGCCUUGUCUGUACUCAUAAAAUGAGACAUAACUGUUUUACUAAGUUGAUCUAUUAAAUGAGACUAAGAGACUGGCCAAAAAGUAUAGAAUUAUAUGUAAUAGUUAUAUUUACUCUGAAACCUUAAGACUCAACAAAGGUCACCUGUUGGCUACACUGGAAAACUUGUGCAGUAUUAAAUGUUAUCUAAAAUUUCCCAGAAAAUAAUGUAACUGUAAACACUGCAUUCUACUCUGCUGAAUCUGUUGCCAGCAGAAGCCAAAUGGCCCACUUGUCUGAACUUAGAAGAGGCCUUUUUCAGUAUAAGGCUGGCUCUGGGAAGCCAGAAGCUGUUUGCAUUCCAGUGAGAGAGACCAGACAUAGAAACAGUACACAUGGACCAGGUUGCCACAGGGGUUCAAAACACCUACAAUUUUUGAAAAAACGCUGGCUCGUGACCUCCAGAAAUUCCUGGCUGAGGAAUCAGAAUGUGUGCUGUUCCAAUAUGUCGAUGACCUCCUUUCAGGACACCCUACCCAGGAAGGCUGCGCCUGAGGCAUGGACUGUCUUUUAUGACAUCUAGAGAUAUGUGGCUAUAAAGUGUCUAAGUGGAAGGCCCAGGUCUGCCAGCAGCAAGUACAUUAUCUAAGAUUUACUAUUCAGCAAGGGGAAAAAAAUCUAGGCAUGGAACGAAGGCAGGUCAUUAAUCGCCUCCCCACCUCCAAGAGCCGAAAGCAGGUUCGGGAAUUCGUAGGCCCAGUCGGCUUCUGUCGUCUUUAGAUCCCCAACUUUGCCGUCUUAGCUAAGCCCUUGUAUGAGGCAACUAAAAGAGAAGAGGGAGAGCCCUUGGAGUGGGAAGGAAAAUAGGAACAUGCCUUCUCCCAGCUAAAGAUGAGGCUGAUGGCUGCACCUGCAUUGGGACUGCCAAACUUGACCAAGCCCUUUACUCUGUAUGUCUCAGAGAGAGAUAAAAUGGCUGUGGGUGUGUUAACCCAGCUGAUUAAGUCCUGGCCAAGGCCUGUAGCCUACCUCUCUAAGCAGUUAGAUAAAGUGGCAAAAGGAUGGCCACCCUGUUUACGGGCUCUAGCUGCUACUGCUCUCCUUGUGCAAGAAAAUAAUAAGCUGACUCUGGGCAGGAUCUCAGAGUGAAAGUACCCCACUCUGUGGUCAAUUUAAUGGACACUAAGGGACAUUUUUGGCUCUCUAAUGCGACACUCUGAACCAAGCCAUGCUCCUUCCAGUCAGUGGAAGAGAGACUGAGCAUAACUGUACAGAAAUUAUGGAUAAUGUAUACUCUAGCAGACCUGACUUGCGUGACCAACCCUGGACAGAUGCAGACUAGAACUUGUAUGUAGAUGGAAGCAGUUACAUGACCGCGCAAGGUGAGCGGUGGGCUGGGUAUGCAGUGGUCACCUUAACAGAGACUGUGGAGGGUAAGCCCCUCCUUCAAGGGACAUUGACUCAGAAGGCUGAGUUAAUUGCCUGAGUUAACUAAAUCAAGGGGAAAAUUUGAAUGCUUUUCUGACUCUUCAAAUACACAGGACAUUGUACAAGGAGAAGGGACUAUUAAAUUCUGAAAGAAAAAAAAAGGACAUUAAAUAUCAGCAGGAGAUAACUUCCGUUGUUAGAGGCAGUAUGGAAACCCCAGAAAGUGGCUGUUAUGCACUGUCAUGGACAUCAAAGAAAUGCUUCCACCAUCGCUAAAGGGAACACCAGAGCCAAUACUGAGGCAAAAAGGGCUGCCUCCCAGCCAUACCAGGUGUCACCAGUGGCUCCCCUCAUCCCUUGGGUCCCAAAGCUCACCCCUAUCUACUCCCGGAAGGAGAAGGAAUGGUUAGCAGCAGAGGGGAACCAGGAAGCAGAGGGAGGAUGAACGAAAAUGCCAGAUGCACGAGUAGCAGUUCCCCAGAUUCUAAGAGCCACCGUAGUGACAGGAGUGUUUGAUGAAGUUGCUGGGCCAGUACUUCUACAUCUCCUACCUGGCAGCCCUGGCCAAAACUGUCAGUCUACAGUGUGUCACCUGCAGGCAGUUCAACGUGUGCCAAGGACCAAUGGUACCACCAGGAAUUCAGUUGUAUGGAGCAACACCCUUCGAAAACUUCCAGAUCAAGGGACCAAAUUUAGGUCUGGAAUCAGAACAUGGUCCCCCUCAAACCAAGGUAAAAAAGACUUUACACCAUCAUCUUGACCACACGCACGGCAGUAAAGAUGAAAAUAAAUCUUCACCUGGAGUCAUCACAGCUAGCUGAAUAAAGCUUCACUGCCCCUUGAGAAGUAAAGGUAACUUUUAAGACAUCCAACAUGCCCUGCUCCAGCCACAUACUGGGAGCUGGUUGGUCAACACACGGCUGAAGCCUGAGGAAACUCCUCGAGGAACUUGCCUUAAUUGAACUUUGGACUUUAAAAAAAAAAAAAAGAGGUUUGUGCGCUGCUCUAAGUGAAAAAUGCUGUUUUUACACUGAUCACUCAGGAAUAAUGAAAGAAUCAAUGGUCCUUGUGCGGGAGAGCUUGCACAAGCGUAAAGUAGAAAGAGGAAAUAAUCAGAGCUGGUCUCUGAUGGCUAACAACUCUGAUAUCAGCCCUGGCUGGUCCCCUAGUGUUAUUACUUCUACUCCUGACUGUGGGCCCUUGCAUUAUCAAUAGGCUCAUCACUUUUGUACAGGACCGUGUAAGAGCCGUACAACUUCUGGUCUUAAAAGGCCAAUAUCGGCCCCUUUCAUACAGAAAGCUAGAGCUGACACACACGGUACCGGACCCAUGAUUGGGUCCUUGAAUUUACAAGUAGAGGGGGGAAUGAAAGAACCAGACCAGCGCCACUUAAAAGUUAAGUUUCGCUCCCCCUGCCAUUUCACUCAGUAAGUUUACUUUCCAGACAAGCCCAGGCAAGCCUAGGCAAUUCCCCGAAAUCAUGAGACAACCGCCCACCAAUCAGGGACCCCCCACCUAACCAAUCCAGAAGCACCCCCUUUGUUUCAAGCUGUGCACACCCACCCGCUGAGCGGGACCAGAAGAACCCCCUGCUCCAGAGCUCAGGGUUCCUGGCUCAGACCCCUUGCAACGGAUUCCCCCGGGAGCCCAAGUUCGAACUUGCUUUUGCAUCGGACUCGGCUCCCUGGUGGUCUUUGUGGGGGAUUUCGAGAUCUGGGCACAACAGGAUACCAUGGAGGGGCGCGGUCUUCCCUGAGGCCCAGGGUAUAACUGCGGGCGGCGGAAGACUUAGGUCGGGAGAAAGAGAAUAUCCUGAGGACCCAGCGGCUCCGGUGGUGGUGGCCUGGCCAGCCUCCUGGGCGCUGAGGUGGCCGGGAAGGAUCAGAGGGAGAGAGGCCUGAAAGGAAGAGUACACCACGUAAUAGGUGGGAGGAGAAUGACAGGGGAUUGGCACAGGUCUCGAAUGUGGGAAAGUCGUGCCCGAGGUCCUGGACAUCAGCGGUCCGCCCCUUAGGCGACAGCUCACCACCCAGUAGGGAAAGAAACUCCCAGAAAGGCAGCGAGAGCAAGAGCGGCACCGACUGCACCUGGCCCGACAGGCAGGCCCGGAACCCGCCAAUCCUGGGCCAACCCCGCCCCGCGCUGCGUAUUUCCGGUGGCGCUGGGACGUCCAGCUGCUGUUGCUAUAGUUGCGAGGGCGGGACUCCGGUGGCUUUUGUUCAGGGUACGGUUCGUUGGGGCGGGUUCGCUGGGACCCUUCUGGCCAGUCCCGGUCCAUUAUCUGGUCUUCACCUUCAUCCCGCUGGGCUUCCCUAGCUCUCCCCAGCCAAGAUCUUCAGGACUAGACCGAAAACUGGCCGAGUAGUUGGAUUUUCCUCUGAGGCUGAUGGCGCUUGAGUCUCCAGCCUGCAGAUGGCAGUGUUGUACCGUGGGGGGGGGCCAUCCUUGCCACCCCCGCCCUUCGUGCUUGAAAAAACUCUGCGGUGUCGUUUCAGAGAGAAAAGGCCUUUUUGUCCUCAUUUCUGGGCCGGUUGAGUCCUGCAUUUUGACAGGUCGCCCUCGGAAGGGGGUGGGGGCGGGCGGGAGGUGGGUCCCUGGCUAAAAUUCAGCGCCAGAGCACAAAGGCCUUUUGCUUUUCAAACUGGCUUUCCCGCCCACCCCCACCCCCACCCCCACCCCCGCGGUCUCUUAGCAACCUUUAUUCUGCUUCUCUGAAUGGUCUUGUCGUUCUUUUCCCCAGCUUGUGGGGGUGGAGGGGGGUGGGGUUGGGGGGAGGGAGGGUGUUAUGGGCCUUUAUCAAUAUAGUCUUUCAUUAUGGACGUCAUUCAACCUCAUUGUAGGAAAUUUGGUGCAUAGAUAAAGUAUAAUGAAGAAAACUAAUCUGAUCUACGGCCCCACACCCAGAGGUGACCAUUAAUUAUAUUUUGUGUUGAAUUUCCUUGGAGCGUUUUGCGUCCAAAAGGUGCAUUGUAUAAGUGAUGAGAUUCGCGUUUGCAUGAUUGCUUUUAUAGCUUUCUUUUAAAACUGUUUUGCAUUUUUGAAAAAUUGUUUCCAUAGUUUUAGUCUUUUAUUGGAAAAGUAAUAGAAACAUUUUGUGGACUAUUGCAAUUUUAUGUAAAACUAGUUCAUAAUUCAGUCAGCGCCUGUGGCUCUACGGAGUAGAGCGCUGGUCCCAUAUGCCAUAAGUGGCAAAACCUAGCCCUGGCCAGAAACAGCAAAAUAAAUAAAUAAAUAAAUAAACUAGUUCGUAAUUCAUUAAGUCAUGAUCCAAAGAUAAUUGUCACCAUGUCCCCUUAU